rnacentral:rRNA from 1 species
GACGAACGCUGGCGGCGUGCCUAAUACAUGCAAGUCGAACGCUGAAGGAGGAGCUUGCUUCUCUGGAUGAGUUGCGAACGGGUGAGUAACGCGUAGGUAACCUGCCUGGUAGCGGGGGAUAACUAUUGGAAACGAUAGCUAAUACCGCAUAAUAGUAGAUGUUGCAUGACAUUUGCUUAAAAGGUGCAAUUGCAUCACUACCAGAUGGACCUGCGUUGUAUUAGCUAGUUGGUGAGGUAACGGCUCACCAAGGCAACGAUACAUAGCCGACCUGAGAGGGUGAUCGGCCACACUGGGACUGAGACACGGCCCAGACUCCUACGGGAGGCAGCAGUAGGGAAUCUUCGGCAAUGGACGGAAGUCUGACCGAGCAACGCCGCGUGAGUGAAGAAGGUUUUCGGAUCGUAAAGCUCUGUUGUAAGAGAAGAACGAGUGUGAGAGUGGAAAGUUCACACUGUGACGGUAGCUUACCAGAAAGGGACGGCUAACUACGUG